AAGCACAUCAUAGUUUAGUAGUACAAAAUUUUAAACCCUAGGAGGGAAAAAAUUCAGGGAGACAGAAGUGAUCAUUUACAGGCAGUAGAGGAUAUGUUGUUCUGAGGUGACUGACAUUUUUCCUGUCGAGAGUUGAAGAAGACUUGGAAAAGGCAGAAUUUGAGAUUGGCCUUGCUGGUCGGAGGAUUUAGACUACGGAACUCCGCUGGGCGCCCGAAGAAGUAGCAGCACAAAGAUGCACACUUUACAGCUCUGUUGCCAAGGAAGCGCUCGCAAUCUAGAAUGCUGAGCAGAUGUGUGAACGGAGAACAGAGGAGGACCCCGGAAAUGGGUGUGAUCUUCGUAUGACUGAGGAGAAGCAGGAGGCAUGGCGUGUAUGUGGAGAGAGAGACACACACACAGAGAGAGGGACAGACAGACAGAGUUCUGGAAGGAUUCUACUUAGGAUGUAAUAUUUGCACUGAAUCUCAAGACCUCAGUUCUCUGUGGACUUGGAGGAAGAACAUUCUAGAUUGAUGGAACAGGAAGUGCCAAGGCUGAAAGACCGGGAGAAUUCAGAGAUGUCUGUGUGACAGGGACAGAGGAUUGCGUGGGUGUGGCAAUAGAUGCGAUGUGCUCUCCAUUCUCUGGAUGUGAAGGAACAGCACGAGUUAGGGAAAGCAGGAUGUGAAGAGCGAAUGAAAGACUGAGAUACAGAACUCAAUCAGCGUCGCACACGCACACAGAUCUCUCUCGAGCAAACAUGAAACUGGGGUACUGGUAGCUGCUGGCAAUCAUGCCCAAGUUUGGUGGCCCCAGUAGGUAGAAAGUGUCCAAAAGAGACCAAAGGGGUCAGAAGGACCAACAACAUUGAUGGGAAGACUUAGGAGCAGGAAGGUGAGGGACAAGCCAAAGAUCACAUAGGUAAGAAAUGAUGGAGCCAGAUAUCGGCUCCAGAAGGCCACUUCUUUGCCCACUAGGGUAAAGUACCUGGGG